ACCGUGGCUUUAGAUUGUUACUGUAGCAGCUGCAGGGAGGUAACAGUCUACAGCCAUGGUCG
rnacentral:pre_miRNA from 1 species